GAUCUGGCUGUAGAACUCUCAGCCACCUCUCCAUCACCAUGUCUGCCUGCAUGCCACCAUGUUUCCCGCCAUGAUGACAAUGGACUAAAACUCUGAACUCUUACAGCACCAUAGAGAUAGAAGACUAGCUACGGGGGUUCUCCAUACAGCUCACACUAAAGCCGUUGGCUGGAGAGUCCGGUAUCUUGGACUGAAGGGAGACCACGGCUGACCUGACAGAGUCCUGGGCUUUUCCUCACUGGGAAGCAGAGUCUUUGCUGGCUGCUUGGUCCCCUUGGGUGGCUACUGCUGUGCCUUAUUUACAGAGUGGAGAUGGAGAUGAAAUCCAAGGUCUUUCAAGAUAUGCAAAUGAAACAUCCUUUUUUAUUCAAAUUGUGGCAGAGCAUUAAAAAAAGUAACAUUUUGAUUAAAAAUUAUAUUUGUGAAUAUUCCC
rnacentral:lncRNA from 1 species